GAAAGGCUUUUUGAAGUCUUCGGAUGGAUAGAAGAACCCCUGAUGCCGUCGAGCCAAGAAAAGUUUCUAAGUUUAGCUAAUGUUGCCCGUACCGUAAACCGACACAGGUGGGUGGGAUGAGUAUUCUAAGGCGCGUGGAAGAACUCUCUUUAAGGAACUCUGCAAAAUAGCACCGUAUCUUCGGUAUAAGGUGUGGUUAGCUUUGUAUUAGGAUUUACUCCGAAAGCAAGGAAACUUACAACAAAGAGUCCCUCCCGACUGUUUACCAAAAACACAGCACUCUGCUAACUCGUAAGAGGAUGUAUAGGGUGUGACGCCUGCCCGGUGCUCGAAGGUUAAUUGAUGGGGUUAGCAUUAGCGAAGCUCUUGAUCGAAGCCCGAGUAAACGGCGGCCGUAACUAUAACGGUCCUAAGGUAGCGAAAUUCCUUGUCGGUUAAAUACCGACCUGCAUGAAUGGCGUAACGAGAUGGGAGCUGUCUCAAAGAGGGAUCCAGUGAAAUUGUAGUGGAGGUGAAAAUUCCUCCUACCCGCGGCAAGACGGAAAGACCCCGUGGACCUUUACUACAGCUUGACACUGCUACUUGGAUAAGAAUGUGCAGGAUAGGUGGGAGGCUUUGAGUAUAUGACGCCAGUUGUAUAUGAGCCAUUGUUGAGAUACCACUCUUUCUUAUUUGGGUAGCUAACCAGCUUGAGUUAUCCUCAAGUGGGACAAUGUCUGGUGGGUAGUUUGACUGGGGCGGUCGCCUCCCAAAUAAUAACGGAGGCUUACAAAGGUUGGCUCAGAACGGUUGGAAAUCGUUCGUAGAGUAUAAAGGUAUAAGCCAGCUUAACUGCAAGACAUACAAGUCAAGCAGAGACGAAAGUCGGUCUUAGUGAUCCGGUGGUUCUGUGUGGAAGGGCCAUCGCUCAAAGGAUAAAAGGUACCCCGGGGAUAACAGGCUGAUCUCCCCCAAGAGCUCACAUCGACGGGGAGGUUUGGCACCUCGAUGUCGGCUCAUCGCAUCCUGGGGCUGGAGCAGGUCCCAAGGGUAUGGCUGUUCGCCAUUUAAAGCGGUACGCGAGCUGGGUUCAGAACGUCGUGAGACAGUUCGGUCCCUAUCUGCCGUGGGCGUAAGAAGAUUGAAGAGAUUUGACCCUAGUACGAGAGGACCGGGUUGAACAAACCACUGGUGUAGCUGUUGUUCUGCCAAGAGCAUCGCAGCGUAGCUAAGUUUGGAAAGGAUAAACGCUGAAAGCAUCUAAGCGUGAAGCCAACUCUAAGAUGAAUCUUCUCUAAGCUCUCUAGAAGACUACUAGUUUGAUAGGCUGGGUGUGUAAUGGAUGAAAGUCCUUUAGCUGACCAGUACUAAUAGAGCGUUUGGCUUAUCUUUAAUAAAGCAU
rnacentral:rRNA from 1 species